ensembl:lncRNA novel transcript
UCAGAUUAAAUGGAACCCUAUGGCAAUGUUUUAUUCUGAGCAUAAAUAUGUGUGCAACCUGUUGAAAGGAGGAGUUAAUUCUCUGAAGAUAUACAGACUGCUGAGAAGUGAACAAAAUGUAUCAAGGCUGCAGAUAAAAAUAUAAUUGUGAAUAAGAAAACAAGCAGCUUAUAUCCUGGAUAUUUUAAAUGAAGCCAAUGAGAAUAUAAAUUUAAAAUUACACAUCUCUAGACUGCCUAAAGAUUUCACAAAAUGGUGCCUCCAACUUUGUUACUUAUCCUCUUUUUUAUAUCAAAGUAUUUCUAUGAUAUUUUAACUUUUCUUAAAGUGUAUUGGUGGGUUUCUAACAUAGGUAAGAUUACCUGUGUUCGAUCGAUAGAAAAUCAUUUUUUAUCUCUUUUUUAUUUUGUUUUACUCUAGUCUGUGUAUUUUUAAUUUACAAUAUAUAUACAUUUAUAAAUUUAUAAUUUCACCCAUGAGGGGGAAAAUACUGUAACUAGCUAUGUCCUUUAAGUGGUGUUGAUUUUUCAAGUGGACACAUCAUCUCGUUUCCAAAAAUAGUGAUUUCCAUCUAAUAAAAAUUCUAAUUCUCUCCUA